rnacentral:misc_RNA from 1 species
UCCGGCUUUCACCGGCUGUCUCGCUAGAGUGCCCACCCAAGGUGCUGGCAACUAACGAUAAGGGUUGCGCUCGUUGCGGGACUGAACCCAACAUCUCACGACACGAGCUGACGACAACCAUGCACCACCUGUCACCACUGCCCCGAAGGGAAGGUGUAUUUCUACACCGGUCAGUGGGAUGUCAAGUCCUGGUAAGGUUCUUCGCGUUGCUUCGAAUUAAACCACAUGCUCCACCGCUUGUGCGGGCCCCCGUCAAUUCCUUUGAGUUUCAGCCUUGCGGCCGUACUCCCCAGGCGGAGUGCUUAUUGGGUUACCUUCGGCACAGAGGGCGGAAACCCCCAACACCUAGCACUCAUCGUUUACGGCGUGGACUAC